CCUACGGGGGGCUGCAGUGGGGAAUAUUGGACAAUGGGGGGAACCCUGAUCCAGCCAUGCCGCGUGUGUGAAGAAGGCCCUCGGGUUGUAAAGCACUUUCAGUGAGGAAGAACGCCUGGUGGUUAAUACCCAUCAGGAAAGACAUCACUCACAGAAGAAGCACCGGCUAACUCCGUGCCAGCAGCCGCGGUAAUACGGAGGGUGCGAGCGUUAAUCGGAAUUACUGGGCGUAAAGCGCGCGUAGGUGGCUUGAUAAGCCGGUUGUGAAAGCCCCGGGCUCAACCUGGGAACGGCAUCCGGAACUGUCAAGCUAGAGUGCAGGAGAGGAAGGUAGAAUUCCCGGUGUAGCGGUGAAAUGCGUAGAGAUCGGGAGGAAUACCAGUGGCGAAGGCGGCCUUCUGGACUGACACUGACACUGAGGUGCGAAAGCGUGGGUAGCAAACAGGAUUAGAUACCCGGAUAGUC
rnacentral:rRNA from 1 species